GACGAACGCUGGCGGCGUGCCUAACACAUGCGAGUCGAGCGGAGACAAUAGCAAUAUUGUCCUAGCGGCGGACGGGUGAGUAACGCGUGGGCAACCUGCCUAUCACAGGGGGAUAACACAGGGAAACUUGUGCUCAUACCGCAUAACACAUCCAGGAAGCAUUUCCUUGCUGUCAAAGGAGCAAUCCGGUGAUAGAUUGGCCCGCGUCCAAUUAGCUAGUGGGGGAUGUAACGGACCACCAAGGCGACGAUUGGUAGCCGAACUGAGAGGUUGAUCGGCCACAUUGGGACUGAGACACGGCCCAGACUCCUACGGGAGGCAGCAGUGGGGAAUAUUGCACAAUGGGGGAAACCCUGAUGCAGCAACGCCGCGUGAAGGAUGAAGGUUUUCGGAUUGUAAACUUCUUUAGUCAGGGACGAAUAAAUGACGGUACCUGAAGAAUAAGCCACGGCUAACUACGUGCAAGCAGCCGCAGUAAAAC
rnacentral:rRNA from 1 species